GAUUUCUGGUUCGGCGCACUUGGCCCGUCUCGGUUUACGGGAUUGCGUGCCGGUGUGCGCCAUCCAUCCUUCGGGAAAUACACAGCUACCCUUUACUGGGCGGUUGUGCUAUCCCGAUCUUUUACUUUGAAAAAAUUAGAGUGUUUAAAGCAGGCUUGCGCUAUGAAUACAUUAGCAUGGAAUAAUAAUUUAGGACUUUAUUUCUAUUUUAUUGGUUUCUAGAGAUAAAGUAAUGAUUGAUAGGGAUAGUUGGGGGUGCUAGUAUUCACCGGCCAGAGGUGAAAUUCUUGGAUUCGGUGAAGACUAACUUAUGCGAAAGCAUU
rnacentral:rRNA from 1 species